rnacentral:misc_RNA from 1 species
GAUGAAGAACGUAGCGAAAUGCGAUACUUGGUGUGAAUUGCAGAAUCCCGUGAACCAUCGAGUCUUUGAACGCAAGUUGCGCCCGAAGCCAUUAGGCCGAGGGCACGCCUGCCUGGGCGUCACACGUCGUUGCCCCCCCAUCUACUCCUUCGGGACUGCGGGGGGCGGAUGAUGGCCUCCCGUGCGCCUCGUCGCGCGGUUGGCAUAAAUGCCAAGUCCUCGGCGACGCACGCCACGACAAUCGGUGGUUGCGAAACCUCGGUUGCCCGUCGUGUGCGGUCAUCGCGCAUCGAGGGCUCGAAAAAAUUGUCGGGCUCCGGCUCGGCUUUCAACGCGACCCCAGGUCAGGCGGGGUUACCCGCUGAAUUUAAGCAUAUCAAUAAGCGGAGGA